rnacentral:sRNA from 2 species
CGCAUAUGAAGGAGACAGACCAAUGGGACUUACGCGAUCUUUGAAUGUCCUCAUGAUCUGUGCGGCAUUUGCAUUUGUUGCAGCGUUGAUAGCAGGCGUCAUCCCUUAGGGGAAUUAGCCUAAACCAUUACGGCGGCUUCGGUUUUGAGGAUAGGCCGACCCGCACGAAAAUGAAAAGCCCGGCGUCACCGCCGGGCUUU